rnacentral:misc_RNA from 1 species
GAUGAAGAACGUAGCGAAAUGCGAUAAGUAAUGUGAAUUGCAGAAUUCAGUGAAUCAUCGAAUCUUUGAACGCACCUUGCGCCCUUUGGCCAUUCCGAAGGGCAUGCCUGUUUGAGUAUCAUGAACACUUCAACUCUUUAUGGUUUUCCAUGAUGAGCUUGGACUCUGGGGGUUUUGCUGGCUCACAGUCGGCUCCUCUAAAAUGAAUCAGCUUACCAGUGUUUGGUGGGUAUCAUGGGUGUGAUAACUAUCUACGCUUGUGGUUUUUCCACCAGGUAACCUUCAGCAGUGGAGGUUCGCUGGAGCUCAUAGAUGUCUCUCCUCAGUGAGGACAGCCCUUUGAAUGUUUGAUCUCAAAUCAGGUAGGACUACCCGCUGAACUUAAGCAUAUCAAUAAGCGGAGGA